AGCAUGCAGUCUGUAGCGAGGGAUCUGAUGGCAGAAACCUUGAGUCCGUCGUGGAAAGAUCUGAUGGUAGAAACCCUAUCCUCAAGGACUAUGGCUAGCCAAUAUGGACAAGAAGGCAAAUGGCAUCGAGGCUUGCAUCAGGACUAGGAUAGCCAGCAGGAUCAGGGAGGUGAUCAUCCCCCUAUACUCAGCUCUGGUGUUCAGGAUGAAUAUUUGAAGUGCAAAUGGUUCUCUUGCAACCUCUCUCACAAACAAGGGAUAUUGAACUGACCUAACAUCCUCUCAAAAGAAAGAAGAACCCUCCAAAAAAAAAAAAAAAAAAAGAAAAAUUAUAGAUAAGAAAGAGUGUUCAAUGAAAAAAGGCUAUGAAAGAUAAAAAUUAAAGGCUAAGUGUGAGCAGAUUUUCUCAAAGGUGACUGCCUAUAUGAAGAAAUGCAUCUAUGUGGAAGUGUAUGCCUCACAGUUCUUAGCAAGCAUAGCUUAUCUGCAACAAUUGACUUUGGGAAGCACCUUCCAGUACUAUAACAAGCAAUCAGGUAGUGAGAGACCUCUGAAUUAAACUUUGACUAGUCUGAUGCAUCCGUCUGGUAAAACACAGGAAUAGAUGCAAAGACCAUAUUAUAUAUGCAUCUGAGCUCUGACGUCUCUGCAGAACAUCACAUCAGUAAAUGAAAUUUCACAGGUGAUAUAAAACCUGGGGAAGCAUUGGAUUUAGAAUAACUAUGGUUAUUCUAAGUAUGGUCAGGAAGCCAAGGGAAAUUGUGAGUUCCCUUUACAUGGCAUUCUUUUCACCUAAUCUACAGUCUUGUCUUGAGUCCAUCCAUACAUAAAAUACAUUAAUAGAGUGGGACAAGCUCAGCAGAGAGCCCAUAGGCUGGCCAAGUGCUGGGGCACUUGCACUGUGAAGAAAGACUGAGUAAAAUGCAGCUGUUGAGCCUACCGAGGCAAUUGCUUUUGGUCACCUAAUUACAGACCAGCCAAGCAUUUACAGAGAGCUCAUCAAGAAGUAGAGCCAAGCUGUCAAUGAUGCAUGGCAGGAAGAUGAGAGAUGAUAGAUAUAAGCGCAGAUAUCCAGAUCAAUUAUAUAGGUUGACUAUAUCCAAGAAAAAUUUCUCUUUCAAGAGGACAGGCAGCAGAACAAGGUAACCAGAGAAGCUGUGAAAUCUUCAUUUUUGAUGCUUUUCCCCUACCUGCUGCACCAAUCCCUAUGCCACCUGGUCUGACUUCUGAGUUGGCCCUACUGAGAACAAAACACUGGAUUUAGAUAAUCUCCUGAGGUUUCUUCCAAUAUUCAUUUUACUAUCAUCCUGUGAGCCUAUGGUAUUUAUAGCAUAAUUUUCCUUUCAUGAACCUUAUAAAAUUAGAACUGUUUAAGAAUGAACUUAUGUAGAACAAAAAAGAUUAAAUAAAAUAUUAUUUU
ensembl:lncRNA